CAGCCGCCACGGUAAUACGUAGGGGGCAAGCGUUAUCCGGAAUAACUGGGCGUAAAGGGUGCGCAGGUGGUUUAACAAGUUAGUGGUGAAAGGCAUAGGCUCAACCAAUGUAAGCCAUUAAAACUGUUUAACUUGAGUGCAGGAGAGGAAAGUGGAAUUCCUAGUGUAGCAGUGAAAUGCGUAGAUAUUAGGAGGAAUACCAGUGGCGAAGGCGACUUUCUGGACUGCAACUGACACUGAGGCACGAAAGCGUGGGGAGCAAACAGGAUUAGAUACCCGUGUAGUCCCUGUCUCUUAUACA
rnacentral:rRNA from 1 species